AUGAAAUACAUGGCAGGACUUUUACUUUCUGACCCCUGGAAUGUCCACCUCUGCAUUUUGCAUUUGCACAGCACAGGGAAAAAAAGUAUCACAUGUAGCAGUUGAACUUUAACAAAAUUAAGUUAUCAUUAUUAAUGAACAUGCUAAAAACAAUUAUAUCUGAAUACUGAUGUCACUAUUGAAGCUUGUCUAUCUGGUGACAUUUACCAGAACCCUAUAAAAGCUACAGUAUAUCCAGUUCAUGACACAGGGGGAAAUGACACACAGUGUGAGAUUUCAGCUCCAUUAUAAACUUUUAAAUUAAUAAAUAAAUAAAAUAAAAAAUGUAAAACAUUUUUCUAUUGAUUUCAGAUGCUCCCAAGAACACAAGGUAUUGGGACUAUUUAUAAAAAGGGCAGUACUUUAUACAUCGGAUCAUCUGAUGGAUGUGAAUGCCCCCAAAUCUUUCAGUCUGCUGGAGUACAGAACAAAAACAACAAAAAUUGUAUCACUGUCCUGAUACUUUUCCAACUUAUAUCAAUGUAUUCACACGGAGAUAAAAUAAACAUUAUAUAUUCAAACUUUAUGUCUAGUGCCAUCCUGGAGCAGAGCACAGUACUACUGCUUGGCUCAGAACACUCAUGGAGCUCAGACCUCUACUCCUGUGUCAGACAAUAUAAAAGCAGGAGAUACGACAGUGCUCGUAUGGACAGUUGUUGGAAUCUCUGUGGCUUUUGCACUCUUUACUGUCAUGGUGUGCACAAGCAGGAAGAAGAGCACCAACAGAGAGAGACGGAGGAGCAGACGCUCUCUUACUAGCAGAGCCUUCAGAGAGUGACAAACGCAGCCAGCGACACAAACUCUGUGCAUCAGAGAGCUGACGAGGCCUCAGUGUGGAAUUAAAACACACAGAGGAGAGAAUCUGCAGAGAAUGAGAAAUGGUGGAGAUCAGGGUGAAAGAGUCUCUUUUUGUCUUUAACUUUACAGAACUGCUGUCUGGUUCUGCUAGAUUAUCCAUUUUAUAAAGAGCUGUUGGUGGAGGAUUUUUCCCAGAGUACUGUAACCCUCUAACCAACAUGCAUGUUCAUGUAACCCUGCUGCAACAUGCAUGUUCAUGUAACCCUGCUGCAUGCAUGCUCCUGUGACACCGUUACACGUUUAUAUAACCCUGUUACUCACACGCUCAUAACUCAUGUACAUGUGCAUGUACUCUCUCACAUUGAAUGGGAAGAUUAUAAUGCAGAUUAAUGCAGAAUAUAAUCUCCAAAUUUAAGUCACUUUUAAAGGCAAGGUCGAAAAUCCUUUACAACAGUGUUUUAGUUUCACAUUUUACAUUGCCUUGUUGUAUUGAGCCCACAUUUACUGUUUCUGUCUGUUUAGCUAUUUGAAAUAAUGC